AUUGAACGCUAGCGGCCGGCCUAACACAUGCAAGUCGGGAGAGCGGCGGACGGGUGAGUAAUGUAUGAGGAACUGACUGGUGGAGGGGGAUAACUACUGGAAACGGUCGCUAAUAACGCAAACCAUCAGACGAACACAUAUGGGAUUAGCUUGGAGGUAAGGUAACGGAUUACAUAGGCGACGAUCCCUAGCUGGUCUGAGAGGAUGAUCAGCCACACUGGGACGGAGACACGGCCCAGACGCCUACGGGAGGGAGCAGUGGGGAAUAUUGCACAAUGGGCGCAAGCCUGAUGCAGCCAUGCCGCGGGUAUGAAGAAGGCCUUCGGGUUGUAAAGUACUUUCAGUCGGGAGGCGUGACCGACAGAAGAAGCACCGGCUAACUCCGUGCCAGCACCGCGGUAAUAC
rnacentral:rRNA from 1 species